rfam:Oryza sativa Japonica Group DNA, chromosome 8, cultivar: Nipponbare, complete sequence.
AAAAAAAAAAACCCUAAGUCUUCGUGUCCAACUUUGACUGUUAGUCUUAUAUGAAAUUUUUUUAUAAUUCGUAUUUUUAUUGUUGUUAGAUGAUAAAACAUGAUUAAUAUUUUAUACAUGACUUGUCUUUUUAAUUUUUUUUAUAAAUUUUUCAAAUAAAACGGACGGUUAAACGUUGGACACGAAAAUCAGGGUUUGUCUUUUU